rnacentral:rRNA from 1 species
UGGGGAAUAUUGGACAAUGGGCGCAAGCCUGAUCCAGCCAUGCCGCGUGUGUGAAGAAGGCCUUAGGGUUGUAAAGCACUUUCAGUGGGGAGGAAGGGUGUUGUGUUAAUAGCACAGCAUUUUGACGUUACCCACAGAAGAAGCACCGGCUAACUCCGUGCCAGCAGCCGCGGUAAUACGGAGGGUGCAAGCGUUAAAUCGGAAUUACUGGGCGUAAAGCGCACGCAGGCGGCUUUUUAAGUCGGAUGUGAAAGCCCCGGGCUCAACCUGGGAAUUGCAUCUGAUACUGGGAAGCUAGAGUAUGUGAGAGGGGGGUAGAAUUCCAAGUGUAGCGGUGAAAUGCGUAGAGAUUUGGAGGAAUACCAGUGGCGAAGGCGGCCCCCUGGCACAAUACUGACGCUCAGGUGCGAAAGCGUGGGGAGCAAAACAGGAUUAGAUACCCUGGUAGUCCACGCCGUAAACGAUGUCUACUAGAUGUUCGUGGUCUUGUACCGUGAGUAUCGCAGCUAACGCAUUAAGUAGACCGCCUGGGGAGUACGGUCGCAAGAUUAAAAACUCAAAUGAAUUGACGGGGUCAUAGCUGUUUCCU